AUUGAACGCUGGCGGCAUGCCUUACACAUGCAAGUCGAACGGUAACAGGUUAAGCUGACGAGUGGCGAACGGGUGAGUAAUAUAUCGGAACGUGCCCAGUAGUGGGGGAUAGCCCGGCGAAAGCCGGAUUAAUACCGCAUACGACCUACGGGUGAAAGGGGGGGAUCGCAAGACCUCUCGCUAUUGGAGCGGCCGAUAUCAGAUUAGGUAGUUGGUGGGGUAAAGGCCUACCAAGCCUGCGAUCUGUAGUUGGUCUGAGAGGACGACCAGCCACACUGGGACUGAGCCACGGCCCAGACUCCUACGGGAGGCAUCAGUGGGGAAUUUUGGACAAUGGGCGCAAGCCUGAUCCAGCAAUGCCGCGGUCAGGAAGAAGGCCUUCGGGUUGUAAACUGCUUUUGUCAGGGAAGAAAUCCUCUGGGUUAAUACCCCGGGGGGAUGACGGUACCUGAAGAAUAAGCACCGGCUAACUACGUGCCAGCAGCCGCAGUAAGAC
rnacentral:rRNA from 1 species